rnacentral:rRNA from 1 species
UACGUAGGGUGCGAGCGUUAAUCGGAAUUACUGGGCGUAAAGCGUGCGCAGGCGGUUUUGUAAGCCAGGUGUGAAAUCCCCGGGCUCAACCUGGGAAUGGCAUUUGGGACUGCAAGGCUUGAGUGCGGCAGAGGAGACUGGAAUUCCUGGUGUAGCAGUGAAAUGCGUAGAUAUCAGGAGGAACACCAGCGGCGAAGGCGCCGCUCUGGGCCGUAACUGACGCUGAGGAGCGAAAGCAUGGGUAGCAAACAGG